CCCCUGUCAGCCGCUGUGUUCACCUCUCUUUUUGGACUUUGGAUUUUGUUCUCUACUAAGUCCAGUUGCCUUGUUGGAUCAAGCUUUGAAUUACCAUGACAUGGAUGACUGAGAACCUUCACAGAUAACAGCUCCAGGCUGUCUGCCGGCAGAAGCAUGUGGGGUAACAGAUCGUCCUCCAGGGGACGCCCCUGAUCCUCCUCUUUGUGUGGGAGCUCAUGGAGGAAAGGCUCCAGGAGAGGGGACUCAGCGUAUUGGUCCUCUGAGUCUGACAAAGAUGAUCUGGAUGAUGAUCUCCUAAGAUAAAAAAAAAGAGGUGAUAUUUCAAGUCAAAGUUAGAUGGAGACUCUCAACACAGCAUGUGCCUUUUAAACUACACAUCUUUAUGUGAUCAUUGAUGUCAGGGAUGUGACCAAUCUUUUCCUCUGAGGGAAAACUAGGUUAGAAAAGACUGAUCUUUUUCUAAAUGAUUUCUCUUACUAAAGCUGCAUUUUCCAUGUCCAUGAAAGUAUGACUCAUUGUCAGAAAGGGGGCUAGUCAAUUUCUAUUGAUGUUGAUAUUGAUACCAUUAUUGAGCCUCCUUAAGAGAUCCAAGUCUUCAUCAAAUCCACUGUCAACACUUUGCUCUUACUUGGUGGGAAGAUGAGAUGACUUUGUUUAAUUUGAUGCACAAUGCUGAAAUGCUUUGCUGUGGAGGUUGUUCCCCCUUUUCAAGAAAUGAUUUUGCAACAUAAA